rnacentral:RNase_P_RNA from 1 species
GGGAGUGGAAGGACCGCUGACAGGGUUAGACCCUGAGGAAAGUCCCCUCUCCAUAGUGCGAGAUGACCAGAAAUGGAGUCAGGAAUGGCUGGCAAUAUAGUAGAAACGAACAAUUAUGGGUGUUAACGAUGAAUCUGAAAAGAGGAGAUUGCUCAACAAUUGCUGAAACGAAUAUCCUCAUUGGAGCAAGUCCAAAAAAUCCCGUAGAGGUUGCACGCUUAGGGAAGGGUAGGACGCAUAGUUGAAUGCGGUCAACCGAAAGGUGAACAAAAAGGGGCUUACUCUUCACUCCC